AUGUUAUUAAGAGUAUUAAGUCCAUUAAAUGGACUAGAGUAUUAUUUAAAUUGCAUAUUACCAAGGGAUGAAUGGUUCUGUGGUGAUGAAAAAUGUGGAGAAACAACAUACAAAUGAGAAUUCCUUCCAGUUAGAUCACAGUUAUAAAGAAAGAAUGUAAAAUUGUGCUAUAAGCCAGGGAGAAUCUGAGUUUCUGUUUAUACAAAUUAUUUUAGAAAUGUAUUAUGUAAAGUGAGGUAAAAAUGUAAGUUGCUCCUAGUAACCAUAUAAUAAUAAUAGUUAACAUGUUUUAGCUUAUUGCAUAUCAGACAUUGGCAGUAGGUCUUUUGCCUGGUUGUUUAAGCCUCGAACCAACCCGAUGUGGUAUUGUUAUUAUUAUCCCUGUUUUAUAGGUCAGGUAACUGAAGCUUAGAGUGUUGUCUAAAGUCGAAUAGCUACCUGCAUAGAAUUCAGAUGUAGGUAAUCUUGGGUCCAGAAUGCAAUCCUUAAACUUUAUUAGAAAGCCCACAGUAUAGUUAAGUUAUAAAUGGAAAGAUGAUAUCUUAUCCUUAAAAGCCUUAUUAAACAGAUUCUACAAACUUGCAUUAUCUAUUCUCAUCCAAAUUUUUUCAAUGCUUAAUAAUUUCUAAUGUUGGAAUAUUUAUCCUCAUAUCUACGUUAAAUGUUAUUCAGAAGAUUCCACUACAGUGUUUUUGGUGACCAGAGUAUAACAUGUUACCUUCCUCUGUGAAAAGGCUUUCAGCCUUCUCUAGCCAUUGUUCCUCCUGAUUGUACACAUUUGGUUUCUUUUAUCUUGCUAUUACAUCACACUUUUAAACUUUUUGAGCAUCUGAAGAUUUUUUACUGACCCUGUUUUUUUCUCCUCAGAAAUGUAGUAGUUUUGUAGUGCAGGAUUUUAAAAUUUGGGAAUGAUCAUACUGCCUUGUCAGGUGUGCUAUUGUUCAGACUUUUAGUGUUCAUUUAUAUCAGAUUAUUCAUUCUUAAUCUAGAGCAUUAUAUGUAGUAAUUGUCUUUUGCCCUUGUCUACACAUAUUUUUAGAUUUUUUCCAACAAAUUUGAAUAAUCUUGCAAUAGUGAGAUGAAAUUAUUUACUCAAAAUUUCAAACAUAUUUUCAUAUAGAUUUAUUUUAAUAUUUUCAAAUAAUAAUUGAGAUUUAGCUGUAAGACUCAAGUGAGUUGAAUUAAAAAAUAUUACACUAACAAUUUAUUUUCAGUUCUUAUUAAGCUUCUUUAAGAGUCAGGUCUUAGCUACUGUUUCUAAUGAAGUUUGUUUCCUCUGUUCACUUUCUCUCAAUUCUUCACCCCUUUUUCUUGCCCUUCCAUUCCCUAUUAUUUCUCAUUUAUUAAGUAGAUAUGUAUAAUAAUAUCUGUUUAAUUAUCUGAAAAGAUAAAAACAGUUGUCCCAAGUGGUAGAAUUCGGGGAUUGGGGAGGGUAGACAAAGGUAAAGAAAGAAAAUUGGAAAAAGGUUUUGAGCACAGAAAAGAGGUGAGUCAUGUUUUCCCAGAGCUCUCCAUAACAAAUCAUUAGUCUCAUACACGAAUCUACCAAUCAUAUAGUGUGGGAGGCUCUUCUAGGAGAAAAAUACCUGUCAAGAUACAUAAAAGCAAUCUAGGGUGUUCUCUUCCUCUGAGCAUGUAGCCAUUCAUAUAAUUUUAAAUAUUUUAAUAUCUCUGUAAAUCCUUUAUAUCCAUGCAUAUAAUUUAACUAUUGAUAUUAUGUCAGCAUUUAUGAUUUCUAGACCAUCUUAACAUGGUUAGGGUACUAAUAUGUAUUUUAUAACUUUUUGUUCUAUUUGGUGAUGAUAUUACUCAAACUGUUAUCAACCUAGGAAAAUAAGGAGUUAGCGUAUUAAAUUAUAUGUUAAAUAAGGCUUCUCGUUUUUGGCUAUAAAUAGUACAGUUUUCACUUGAAGAAUUUAUUGUUUCAGUCAGUGUUGCAAAUAUAGUUGGCACUCUGUAUCCACAGGCUACAUCCCCAUUCAAAGAUUCAACCAACCAUGGAUUGAAAGUAUUUGGGAAAAAAAA